AUAGGUGAGAAUAUCAGUUCUUAGAUAGAAUAGCAAGUAGGUGGAGUCUCCGAGGCUUCUUUAUGACACAAACUAUUCUACAUCUGGACCUGAGCUCAAGAAAAACUGAGGGAAAUUUUUUUCCAGUCAAAAAUAAUAAAAAAUGAGGAAGUGUCUCACUUCUAUCUCCUUUUACUCAAAAAAAAUACCACUCAAGAUUCAAAACCCUAAGCUUUUUCCCAGGUGAGGGUGGGACCAUUGAAUUGCCAUUCGGUUUUUAAUUAGAUUGAAUUGGAAAAGUUAAAUCUAAGUAUUUGAAGUUAAUUUGAGUCAAACCUACCAAAAGUCUAACUAGA
rnacentral:lncRNA from 1 species